AGAGUUUGAUCCUGGCUCAGGAUGAACGCUAGCGGCAGGCUUAACACAUGCAAGUCGAGGGGUAAAUAUAGUAAUAUAUGAGACCGGCAAACGGGUGCGGAACGCGUACGCAAUCUACCCUUAUCUGGGGCAUAGCCCGAAGAAAUUCGGAUUAAUACCUCAUAGGAUAGUGGAAGGGCAUCCUUCAGCUAUUAAAGAUUCAUCGGAUAAGGAUGAGCGUGCGUCCCAUUAGCUAGUUGGUAGGGUAACGGCCUACCAAGGCGACGAUGGGUAGCUGGUGUGAGAGCACGACCAGCCACACGGGCACUGAGACACGGGCCCGACUCCUACGGGAGGCAGCAGCGAGGAAUAUUGGUCAAUGGACGCAAGUCUGAACCAGCCAUGCCGCGUGAAGGAUGAAGGCCUUCUGGGUUGUAAACUUCUUUUAUGUGGGAAGAAACCUCUGAUUUCUAUUAGAGUUGACGGUACCAUAGGAAUAAGCACCGGCUAACUCCGUGCCAGCAGCCGCGGUAAUACGGAGGGUGCAAGCGUUAUCCGGAUUUACUGGGUUUAAAGGGUGUGUAGGCGGGCCUUUAAGUCAGUGGUGAAAUCUCCGAGCUUAACUUGGAAACUGCCAUUGAUACUAUUGGUCUUGAAUGUUGUUGAGGUGGGCGGAAUAAGUCAUGUAGCGGUGAAAUGCAUAGAUAUGACUUAGAACACCAAUUGCGAAGGCAGCUCACUAAACAAUGAUUGACGCUGAGGCACGAAAGCGUGGGGAUCAAACAGGAUUAGAUACCCUGGUAGUCCAA
rnacentral:rRNA from 1 species